rnacentral:lncRNA from 1 species
GAUUUCCUCCCCUUUGCUUAUUGGUUUUUGCUGGGUUUUACUUUUAGCUUGUUGAGUUUACUCUGUAUUAAUGCUUUCUUGUUGUAUAAUUGUCAGUUCUAAACGUAGGUUAUAACUGCUAUGAUUAGAUUGGAUUCAUAAAUUUAUCCUUUUACAUUGAUAUCACCGUACUACUGAUUCUACACUGUACUGGUCUUUGAGUUGGUUUGUAGUUUGAUUCUGACUGUUCAUCAAUCCUUAUCCUAUUGUAUUGCUCUUUUUAGUGGUCCUUCAAGAUUUGAUGGAGAAAGAAGAUUUGGUGACCGAGAUGGCUACCGUGGAGGUCCUCGUGGGCCUGGUGGUGAUUUCGGUGAUAAGGGUGGAGCCCCUGCUGAUUACAGACCUUCAUUCGGGGUAUGCAAUUUUACCACUCUUUCUAUUUUUGCAAUUUUGUUAUUCAUAUGUUCAAAUUAGAUUUGCACAUUGCAACUGCUAGGGACUGGUUGAUCUUUACAUUUCUAACAUUAGUUACAGCUUUCUCUCCCAGUUGAGGAUAGCAAAAUUAAUGGCCUUUUAAGUGAUCUAUGUUCGUUCUUCAAUAUCGCAGGGUCCUGGCGGAAGGCCUGGCUUUGGCCGUGGAGCUGGUGGCUAUGGGGGAGCACCUGCACCAUCAAAUCUUGAAUGAACGAACAACAUAGGUGUAUGGGAGUGUUUUUGUUAGUUUAGUUUCUAAGCAAAUUGAAUCAAAGAUGUUGAAUUAAACUCAUGAGAUCUUAUCAGUUUUGUUUGCCUAUAAUUAAUUGUUGGAUAUUUGGUUGCUGAACUCUCUUUAAUGCCACCUAUUACAGAUUCCUCUAAUCCCCUUCACACUUCUUUUAUAUUAUGGAAUUCAUUAACUUAUUUCUGAAGCAUUCUAGCCUCAUUUUCAAUCUUGUCUUUUCUAAAUAUACUUCAAUCAAUAGUUCGAUUGUACCUGUGUUUUGAUCCCCAAAUUUGUCUAACAAGGAAGGUGAUUCCUCUUGCAUAUAGGUUAGUGAAUGUCAAAGGAACAUUGUACUUUAAUGAAACUAAUAACAUCAUUAACCGUGGGGAGAUGAGAAUCCUGCAUGGGAAAUCUCCAUAGGCUCUCUCCUUGAUGUCUAAAUGUGCUUUUUACACACACAAGUUGCUGAACAAUGAUCGUGUUACCUUUGUUAAGGAAUGUGACUUCUCAAUACAUUUGCAAUUUGCAAUGUAAAUGAUGAAUCUGUUUGUGCUUGGUACGUUGUAUUAUUGUAUUGUACGGCUCAUUGAUGAAAAGAUGACAUCAUAGUUUUCCAUUGUUGAAAUGCUUCUUUUUAUGAUAUUUUUGAGCCAAACUUGAAGUUUUCAAUCAUUCACGUGAAUUUCUUACAAUGGAUGAGCCGAGCCAUGUAGUACACAUAAAGAGGGUUUGUUCAAAGUUAAUAUGUUUGGCUGUCAAAGAGUCGACCAAGAACAGAAGGUUCUAACUCAACAUGCAGAUCUCUCGUGAAACUUUAACCACCAUAUCUUCAAAAAGAAGUUGAAAAAAGUGCUUCUGCUUUCUCUCAAACUUUGAGGGAGUCUACACUUUCUUCUAUCCUAAACUUUCUAGUUCUAGUAACCUUUUUUGUUUUAUAUCAUUUUGUUAUCAAUUAACCUUUUAUCCCUAGUUUUAGGUCGAACUAGUAUAUAUGGUAGAAAACUGAGUUAUUUUGAUCGAAGAGGAUUAACCAGUGAACUAAUAGUAAAUGAUGUGUAUGAAUCUAUUUAGAAUUUCAUGAUUUAUUGUUGUCUUCUUAUUGUUAGGUAUAGUUCAACUUGGUUUGAAAUUACUUGGAUAUUAAAUUGUUGGAAUGUUUGGCAAGAGGGUGUAAACAAGUUUCCUUAAUAUAGAAAGGACAACAACUAAACUCUAAUAAAAACUAAAUGAAUGUUAUCAAAUCAAUCAAACCAACCACAUUUUGGCAACACUAGUGCUGGAGAACAACCUCAUAUUUUGAACUUAUGCGGAGCGAACUAUUCGAACUAUCUUGAAUUGAGUAAAAGAGAGAAAAAGGGAGUGGUUUGAGAAGAAAAAAAAUGCUGAAGAUUUUGAAAAAGAAAGAAAAAGAGAACAUGAACAUAUUGUGAAAACUUUUGGGGACUGAUGGGGAAAUCUUGGAUGAAGUGAAUUUAAUGCAUUGGGGGGACAAAUCACAGCACUUUGUUAUUAAUUUCAAAGACACCCACAGGGUAACCUUUGCUGGAGAUUGGGCUAAGAUCUUAUUUCUUCUAAACUAUGAGGCCUUUUCUGCAAUUUCCCAAAUAAAUAUUAAUUUAUUUUUAGGGUCCCUUUUGUAUUUAUAAGCCUCAACUAUCUCAAGAGCAGUUGUGAAAGAAAGAUCCCUUCUCUUUUCUUUUAAUUCUUUUGUAUAGUUUUGAUUAUAUAUACAUAUACAUGAAACAACCCCUUUUGUUUUAAUUAAUUAUCUUUGUUUAUAUAGUCAACAACUCAACUCUCUUCUAGAAAGUUGAAGUUCAAAUCUUCCCAUCUAUUAUAAUUGAUUUAAAAAAAAUAACAAUAAUCUUUUUCUAAUAAUUUUUUAAUACAAUUAUAAAAUCUUGGUAGAGUGCAAUCUUAUAUAGAAAAAAUAGGAAACCAAAAAUUAUAAUAGAUGACAGGUUUGAGUUGAUAAAUAAAUGGAAUAGUUGUACUAUAUGUUAUUAGAAUGUUAAUACAAAUCAUAAUUUCAAGCCAAAUAAGUUAAAUGGUUAAACAAAUAACUAAAAUUUGAGUUAAUUUGUGUGUAUUUUGACUAAUUUUAGCAACUCAUUCUCUUUUGUUUUAUAAAGUUAUAAUCUCUAUUGACUAUGGACCAAUUCAUGAUAGUUAGCUUUAGGAUUUACCAUUUUUUUUUUUAAAAAAAAAGCAAUUGACAAUUCCAACUCUUUUUUUUAAUUAAUGAAUCCAAAUUGUUGAACAACAAGCAACUGUAUCAUUUUUUUUAAAUAGAAAGGAGGAGAUUUUAAGAAUGUUGGAUAAGGAGGAGAAAGAAAAAUAAGGAAGUUGAAAGAGCAAAUUUCUUAAAGUAGGGCUGAGCUGACCCAACUGCAACAGCAACAGCAACAUUGUGUAUGUAAUCGAUUUAAAGAAGGGAAAAAAAUAAAAGGUAAGAAAUUGCAUUAAUGGUGGUUUUAAUUACAUCUUAUUGGAGUAGAGAAGGGCGUUUGUUUUUGGUGGAGGGAAAAAAGUCAGCUCUGAUUCACGGAUUUUCAAACCAUUUUCAGAUCAAAAAGGAAGAACACAGAAGCCAAGCAAUCAAGCAAUCGCCAUUGCCAAUCGCUCUUCACAUUUUUCAGACCUUACUUUUUCAAAAAGCCCCAAAUUUUCACCUUUUUUUCAGAAACCCCAUUUCUCAUUUCUCUUCCAAUGCUUCCCCAAAUAUAGCAUUCGUUUUAGAUGUCAGUAACUGAGAAUAAACAAACUUCCCCCAGUUGCUGAUUCCCUUUGAAACCGCUUCUGGGUUUUCUUUCAAUUCCUAAAAUGGCUACUAAAGAAUCGAGUUCUACCACUGCCACUGAAGGCAAGAUUAAAGGCGUUCUUACUCAUGGUGGGCGAUAUGUGCAGUAUAAUGUGUACGGUAACUUGUUUGAGGUUUCAGCCAAGUAUGUUCCUCCUUUGCGACCUAUUGGUAGAGGUGCUUAUGGUCUUGUUUGGUAAGAUUUGUUUUUUGUCUGCUUGCUUGUUUUUGUUUAUGUUACUAGCAUCGAGUUUUAAAUGGUGGGGUUGUUCUUGUUUUGACGAUUUUUUAUAUCUAAACUGCUGUUCUUCUCUUCUUUAGCUAUUUUCUGAAAAGUUUGUGGAAGUUUUGGCGAUCCUCCUCCUGAUCUGCUUCCUGGUAGUUUACUUGUUUGGUGAACAUAUGUUCUGUUUCCAGUUUGGUUUGUUAAUGCUUAAUUUGAAUGAGGAAUAUGUUUUUGGGGGGUCUUCAGAGUUUGAAUCACCCAGUAAUGAAUCGUAUUAGAUCAUUUCUAUUGGCUCAUUUCAGUGUUGCUUGUGAUAAUUUGAACAUGGUUGGCAACAACAAGACGAGGGAAUUGAAUCUUUAAUCUCUUGGUCGAAGGUAUAGAUAUGUUUUGAUGAGUUGAGCUUGUGCUCAGGUUGAUACAUGGUUGGCUAAGCUUCGAAACCAUGAUUUGAUCAAACUUAGUUAAAUUGGAGACUCACUAAAGGAAACUAACUUUGUGGAAAUUAGAAGUUCAGUAGAAGGUGUAGUUCUAUUAAGGCUUACCUUUUUUCAAUCACAGUAUGUUGCUGCUACUUAUAAAUGUUUUCUUUCCUGUGGAACUUACCUAUGAAUCAUGGUUGUAAAUUGUUCAUUCAGUUGGAAGUUUCGAGUAAUAUUGUAAUGAUUUCAAUAACCAAACUAUGUUCUGUGUCGCAUAAUUUCUCUCUGUAGUGCUGCUGUAAAUUCAGAGACCCAUGAAGAGGUUGCCAUCAAGAAAAUUGGAAAUGCAUUUGAUAACAUAAUCGACGCCAAAAGGACAUUGAGAGAAAUUAAGCUUCUUUGCCACAUGGAACAUGAAAAUGUAUGGUUUGUUUCUAAGAAGUUAUAGUCUUCAUUUUUAUCUUAUAUUCCCUACUUUCAAUUAGCUUCAAUUAUUAGUAAGAGAAAGAUGGGGUGAGUGUUGGUUUUUGUGCUUCACUCUCUGUAACGACUCAAUUUUUAACCAUUCGCAGAUUAUUGCUAUUAGAGACAUCAUUAGGCCGCCAAAAAGAGAGGUUUUUAAUGAUGUGUAUAUUGUUUACGAAUUGAUGGACACUGAUCUUCAUCAAAUAAUUCGUUCUGACCAACCACUGACGGAUGAUCAUUGCCAGGUUUGAUGCUGCAAUUUUGUCUUAAAUCUUACUCUACUCCUGUGAUCUUUCUAUAAAAUAGGUGUUCAUGAUGGCCACAGUUGACGAAUUCUUCCUUUAUUUAGCAAGUUCAGGGCUUCGAGCCAAGCCCACCAAGAAAAUAAGUAAAAAAUAUAAAGUUUGAAGUUGGUUACUCAAGAAAAGUUCUCUAGUGAAUUGGUGCUAAUACAUUCAAAAUGGAAACUUUUUUACCAUUAUCUAAUGAACUGAUCCCUACCAAUUUCCAAUACCAGGGGUGUUAAUACAUGUGCUACUAUUCAUAAUUGAUCCAUUGUGAAGGCAAUGAAUGGAUUUUUUGUUGGGGUUUUGUCCUCAUAAUCUAUUUUACUACAUCAACUUUUUCGUUCUGGUAUGGCGAUACAUUUAGGAAUUGAUGAGGAUCUAAAUACUAAGACUAAGACCAUGUUACCUUAUAGUUAAAUUAUACUAUACCUUUUCUCUCUCCCACGAUAUUCUUAUCGGAAUUUUGCAACUUUCAUUAGCCACUAAACUGACAUAUUAUGCACCUGCAGUACUUUUUAUAUCAGUUAUUGCGUGGGCUGAAAUAUGUACACUCGGCCAAGGUCCUGCACCGUGAUCUCAAGCCGAGCAACCUGCUUCUGAAUGCAAAUUGCGACCUUAAAAUUGGAGACUUUGGAUUGGCAAGGACGACUUCUGAAACCGACUUCAUGACUGAAUAUGUGGUUACUCGCUGGUACCGAGCACCAGAAUUGCUCCUCAAUUGUUCAGAAUACACUGCUGCUAUUGAUGUUUGGUCUGUAGGAUGCAUACUUGGUGAGAUAAUGACCAGAGAACCUCUCUUCCCUGGCAAAGAUUAUGUUCAUCAACUCAGACUUAUAACUGAGGUACAACUUUUAAGGCUACAAGAGUUCAUGCGUUCAACUCUUUUUAUAUUUUAAAAAUCAAUUAGUAUGUCAUUUGCUCUGCUGUCUGCGGACUUUUAGAAGGGUGAAAAGUGCUUUUUUCCAAUUUAAAUCACUUUCUAGCCCUAGGGGAUAUGAAUUUUCAUCCUGGAUUCACUAGAAAUCUAAGCAACACAUACAGAAGCUUAGGGGAGAAUAAGAGAGUUCGGAUGUUCUGGGUCUUGCGCGCUCCACACACAAAGUUAGGAAUGUUGUAAAAGUGAAGAGUAGAAAAUAGAGAACAAGAAACAUUUCAAAGUUCUUUUGGAGAGGGAUUGGUCAGUCUGUCAAAAAAAGAUGAGAAGAGAGCAAAUGUCCCAACUGAAAUCAAUUCUGUUUAUUCUGAGAUCGUAUGAGUUUCAAUGGUGGUGGUGCUAACUGACGAUCUUGUAUGCUUGACAUCUUAUGUACAUGAAAAGCUGUUUUGCAGUCUGUUGAGAAGUUCCCUUGCAUUAUUACAUUGUUAAAUCUCCAUUAUCGUAGUUUCUUUUCUUGAGUACGUUUUCAGAAGUACUUUUGCCCUUCAUUCCUGCUGAAUAAAGAAGAAAAAAGAUGCGUAUUAUUUCAAUUUCGUUUGAAUUAAUCUGAUCAUUUACAUUGUUUCUUCUUCUUCUUUUUUUUUUCUUUUUCCAAUGUUAAAGCUACUAGGAUCACCAGAUGAUGCCAGCCUAGGAUUUCUCCGAAGUGAUAAUGCUCGAAGAUAUGUCAAGCAGCUUCCACAAUACAGAAAACAACAAUUCUCAGCUAGAUUUCCCAACAUGUCUCCAUCUGCCCUCGAUCUUCUCGAAAAGAUGCUCGUAUUUGAUCCCAACAAACGCAUCACAGGUUCGCCAAAAACCUUUCAUACUUUAACCACAAGAAGCCCUCAAUCGAUCUGUGCUUAGUUAUUCAUCAAAAUCAAAUAUGAUAACUCUGUACCCUUUUGCAGUGGAGGAAGCACUUUGUCACCCAUACUUGCAAUCUCUUCACGACAUCAAUGACGAGCCAGUCUGUGCCAGGCCUUUCAAUUUUGAUUUCGAGCAACCGUCGUGCACUGAAGAGCAUAUUAAAGAACUGAUCUGGAAAGAAUCCGUGAGGUUCAACCCCGACGAAUCCGCUAGGAGGACGACUCUUUGCGUUUGACAUGAUCUAGAUGCUGGAAUUGAGCACUUGUUUUCUUUUUCCUGACUAGGAUUUUACUCUCAUGAUCAAGUAGAUAAGAACAGCAGUAAAAAUUUGUAUGCUUACCCAUAUAAAUUGGAGUCCUCUGUAUUGUACAAGGAGCUGAUGCUGAUUUCUGUGAGGGAAUUGGGAGGUUCCCAGAAUCUUGUCAAACCCCAAUAAUUUUAGGCUUUGUAUGACUGAACGAAUUCGAAGAAACUAAGAACAAAAAACAACCGAAAAACCGAAUCGAAAACGGGGCAGAGUAUUAGGUAUUGGGAGAUUUUGGAGGAAAGAUUGUGGAUGUUUGUACUUUCCAUGGAUCUAAUGAACUAAGAAAUAAAGUGAAGGGUGUAAUGUUAGAGAUGAUCUCUUUGUAUUUGCUUCAAUGUUUGUCAAUCAAUUUGCAUACUAUUUUACUCUUAAUUAUGACUUCUCAACUCCAUCUCAUAUUUUAUGUUUGUGUUUGAAAUUUUGUGAUUUUCGUGUUAGGGGAAGGUUUUUAAUUAGGAAAGUGAUUAAUCCAACUAAAUUUAUAGGAUGAACGUAAGUGUAAGUAUCGCAUACCACUCGAAGUUAUAAGUUUGAAUAUUCAUAUCUAUACUUCUUGUAAUCUUCAUUCUUCAAAUGGUAGAUAAUUUAGUUCAUUAUAAAUUGGUAAAUUGGUUUGCAAUUGAAAUCAAAAUAAAUUAAGAGUUGAGAUUCAAACUUUUAUUGAAUGUACUAAAAGUGCAUUAAUUGUGACAAUGGAAAGUGGGGAACCAAAAAAGUCAUAUAAUUUUGUUUUAAAAUAAAAUAAGUGAUUUCACAUUUUCUCAAUUUUUUGGUCUGCCCAAAUUUAGAUGAAUGCAAAGUUGUUUAAAUUUAUUAUAUACUUUACACAUUAUAAUAUUUAUCAUUUUAAUUUGUACGUGGACCUCAUUGUGCUUCCAUCUCACAUCACCUUUUCCUCUCAUUUUAUUGGUCGUUAAGUAAGUAGGUAUUUUGAUAGUUAAUUAUUGUAAAAUAAAAUGUGUCUUAUCUACUAAGUUAUAUUAGAAGUAACAAAUUCGUUGUAGCAAUAAGUGAGGUGGAAAGAAAUUGAAUCUCUAACUUCUUGAUCGAACAACAUGUGCGUUAAUCAAUGACUUAUUGAAUUAAAAGUUAAAAUAAAAUAUUUGAUCAUGAAGAAGUUAUUGUACAAUAGUUUAUAUUCUACCGUGAUUAACUAAUGCGGACCAAGUAGAUGAUAGAUGAUGCCACCAUGGACGGUUAGGGUAAGAUGGACAUAAGGAGGGAUUGUUAUUUUCAUUAUCACUAAACAAAACAUUACCUUUUCUUUAAAAAAAGAAAUACAAAAAUGUUAUGUGAGCAUUUUCAGUAGCUAUGAAGACUUGAAUCAUAGAUCAAAUAAAACAUAAUUUUGACUUGAAUCAACGGAUACUUGAAACAUUACGAACCAAAAGUGUAUAUUAUAACAAAAAGAAUAUUAGAGUAAAUACACGAAAAGAAUGAUGUACAACCAUACCCACCGGAAGACGGGAUAAGGGUAUGUUAGUAACUUCACAAGAAGGAGAUGAGAAGUAAUAUUAAUGACAAAAGUUGGAAACAAGUGCAACACUUAGAUGAACAAAACUAACAAGACAUAACAGCACAUAACACAAACAAAACCAAUACCUUGCCUUAAAUAAUAUAAGAAGUGUAAGGUUAUUUUAGUAACUUAACCCUUAUACCAAAGGUGACAAUUCUUCUUUAACCAAUUGGCUACGCAGCCUCCAAGAAACUCAAACUUCAAUUUAAAUCGAUCCUAAUUUUUCAUAACUCUCGAAUUCCAUUUCCUUUCAUGACGACGGUGAUUUCGGCCGUUGCAACCGCCGGGCCGUACCGGUAUGAUUACGGGAGGUUGUUUCAACGCCCGGCCGCCGGAGCUCCGAGUCCAGGUUUUCCAUGGCGGUGUUUUGCGAAACAGAGGUGGAGAAGGAGAAGAUUGAUGGUUGUGAAGAUGAAGAAGAAGAAAAGUGAAGAAGAUGAAAUGGUUAAGGAAUUGAAAAUGAGUGUGGAGGAGAAAAUGGGGAAGAAGAAAGCAGAAAGAGAGGGUUAUUUGAUAGCUGCAAUUGUUUCGAGCUUUGGGAUCACUUCAAUGGCCGCCAUCGCUGUUUAUUACCGUUUCUCUUCCCAAAUAAUGGAGGUACUCUGUUCUCAUUAGCGUAUAUGUGUUAAAAUAAAACUAAUCGAUUCUAUUAAAUUAUUUUAUAUCUAACUUAUAAAUUAAUACUUGGUGUCAUCCAUAGAUUUCACUCUACAUUCCAGCUCCCCUCUCUUCGUCGUCUCUAUUAUAUACACAUCAAUAUCAUUAGUUGAUUGAGUAGUAAAUUAGUUUUUCAUAUCCUCUAAACUCCAAUCAAAUUCUAUACUUUACAUUUUUAUUCAUAUUGUAUUUUUACUUAUACAAUCCCAUCAACAAAAUUUACAUAUAGAUUUGUGAUUUGUGGUUGUUUGAUGCAUCUAAUCAUUUUGUAGCUAAAUUACUUUUUUCUAAAAGCGGAUGUAUUUCGACUUUUAGGUGAGUUGCUAAUUAAAAGAGAUUUAAAAAAAUUAAAAUAAAAAUGAGAUCAUGAAGUGUGUGAAACCAUAAAAAAGAGAGUUUGAUUGAAAAUAGUUGUAACAAAAUAUUCAAUCAAAACAUGAAUUUUAAAUUACAUUACAUUACAAACUCAUUUCAUUACAAUUCACUAAACUUCUAAAAUAUCCUCACUCAUUAUGUAUUAUUUAAACAAUUUAUCGAGACGUUUUUAUUGAAACACGAAUAAUAUACAUGUUUAGUUGGAAAAUGAAUCUAUAUAAUGUAUGUAAUGUGACAUAUUUUCAUAUAAAAAAGAAGUGGUAUGCAAUAAAUGUGGUAAGAAAUCUUUUUUAGCAUUAUGUUGGUAUAUACACUACCAUUUCUAUUUACAAUUUGACAAGUUAUGUGUUAAUGACAAGUUUGAGAAUUUUGCGUUCUGUUUUGGGACUUUCUCUUCUUUCCUCUUUCAAUAAUACCAUGGAUUUUCCUCUUUUCUUCUGCUUCAUCUUUUUGUUUCUGCUUUUACUUUCAUCCUAUGCUUUUAUAUAUAUAUAUAUAUUGGGAUCUAACCCUUUUAAAGUGUUUUUAGGGUAUGAAAUUUUUAUUAUUACUCAUGUAUUCAAAUACAUUAACUAACUAAGUGAUAUAAAGAAAUAGUUUGAAAAUUUUAAAUUGAAGAUAAAUUUAUUUAUGUUUUCGAUAAAAAGAAAAGAUAUGAGUUUUAUUAUCUAUUUUGCAGGGCGGAGAAUUUCCACUUUUAGAAAUGUUCGGCACUUUUGUACUAUCUAUUGGUUCUGCUGUAAGUUACGUUAUUUAAAUUUCAAAUGAACUAAAAGAGAUCGUUUGAAACAUUUAAAAAGUCAUUUCGACCAAUUCUGAAAACAUUUUUCACUGAUGACAGGUGGGCAUGGAAUUUUGGGCGAGAUGGGCUCACAAAGAGCUAUGGCAUGCUUCGUUAUGGGAUAUGCAUGAGGUAAUUAAUAAUAUAACGAAGGUGUUACAUACAGAAUAUAAUAAAGUUAAAAGAAGCAUAUAGUAAAAGUUGUUAUUAUUGGGUAGUCUCAUCACAAGCCGAGGGUUGGAGCAUUUGAAAAGAACGAUGUGUUUGCAAUUAUAAACGCGAUUCCAGCCAUUGCUCUUCUUUCUUUCGGCCUCUUCAAUCAAGGCUUCUUUCCCGGCCUUUGUUUUGGUGCCGUACGUCUCUUCUUUCUCUCCUCUUUUUUUACUUUUUUUUUUUUCAAUUAUACUUUACUCAUAGUUCAUUCCAUUUUUUUCUUAAAUUUCAAACACUUGUUUUGUUUUUGUUUUUGUUAAGAAUUGUGAAAAAAUAUAUUAAAUAAAAUAGAAAUUUCAAAACCAGAAAGCAACCAACAGAAUUUCGACUGAAUCAAACCUAAAGAUUGCUUCCAUCUAAAUCCAGAAAUAAAUUUGUAAUUUAUCAAAUAGAGUAUGAAGUAGAUUAGAUCUUUUUCUUUUUCUUAGAAAUAUGAAGCAAUAUUUAAAGUAUUUCCUACUAAUUUUAUGAAUAUUGAUGGAUGAUUCAUACUUUCCAACUUUAGAAUCAUUCCAACCUAACUUAGCAAAGUGGUGAAGGAAAAUGAAGUCCAAGUCAGCUUUUUGUAUGACGUGGCUUUCCACGAUUGGCAAUUGUACAGGGUUUGGGAAUUACGGUGUUUGGGAUGGCCUACAUGUUCGUCCACGAUGGCCUCGUUCACCGUCGUUUCCCCGUGGGUCCGAUAGCCGCUGUCCCCUACUUACGACGUGUCGCUGCUGCUCAUCAUGUACUUUUCGACUCGUCGUCCCUCUUGUCUAUUUAUUUUUAAUAUUUAAUACACUUUCAGAAACAUUUUAAAAAAUAGUAAAUUUGAUUAAAAAAAUUAAAAAAAUUAUCAGUUAUAUUCUUAUAAAAUUUAAGAGUUUUGUUAUAACUUAUAAAUAUUUUAAUUUAUUUUGUUAUUUUUAAAAAUAUUUAUAUUUUUAAAAAUUUUGUUUAUAUAAUUUUGUGCAGAUCCAUCAUACGGAUAAAUUUGACGGAGUUCCAUAUGGGUUGUUUUUAGGACCCAAGGUUAGUCUCGUCAUUUUGUAUGCUAAGUAUGAUUUCAAAGGCUGUAUUGUUCAUUCCCUGCCAAUAUUUUCAAUUUUUAUUUGGAAACAUAUUCACUAUAUUGCAUAUUCUUACACUUUGCUAUUAUUAUUACUAUUGAAUUUGAAAUUUAUUAAAAGAAUAUAUACUAAUUGUCUUAAACGACGGCGUUCGUCUUCAGGAACUGGAAGAAGUGGAUGGCGAGGAAGAGCUGCAGAAGGAAAUUAGGAGGAGAAAGGUUUACAGAAAUUAAAUUCAAUUUUCUUAUAAUGUUAUAAUUAUUUUUAUAAAAAUUACAACAAGUAGUAAAAAAGAAAAGAAAAGAAAAGAAGAAAAAAAACACCACUCUCUUU